rnacentral:sRNA from 1 species
AGGCCCCGGCGGUGAGAGUCGGCCCAAAAAGCGGCGGCUGUUGGAGGUGGCUGCGGCAGCUGCUACCCGUUCCUUCCUGUGCGUGACUCAGCCUCAUCUCUACCCGGGUGCGUGCCUGGGCGCCGGGUCCUCUCGAGAGUGUGCAUCCGCGACUGGGGAUGGGGAGCCCUAGGGUUCUUUUGUCACUACUGUUCGAAUUACAGGCUUUGAGGCAGGAAAGGAUUCUGCACAGGCAUUCGACUACAAGUUGUUUGGUGACUUCGUUCCAUGUUCAAGUUUGUGCUGUUCUGCCUGAGGUUUUUAUUUGUUCUUUGGUUUUUGUUUUUUGUAUUUUUGUUGCCUGAGUUUUUAAAGCAGUAAUUCUUUGUUAGGGAAGUAGAUUUUGACAUGCUGUUUCUUUAUUUUGGUCUUAGGGACAGUUGUCUCCCAAACCUCAAUCAUGGCAUUUUAAUCCACUUUUUUUUUUUUUUUCCAUUUUUCCCCCUUCUUUUCACAGAUGUUGAUAAGCCACUUCUUAAUGCUC